GGGGGACGGAGAAGGCUAUGUUGGCCGGGCGACGGUUGUCCCGGUUUAAGCGUGUAGGUGUGUGUUCCAGGUAAAUCCGGUUCACUUUAACACUGAGGCGUGAUGACGAGGCACUACGGUGCUGAAGCAACAAAUGCCCUGCUUCCAGGAAAAGCCUCUAAGCAUCAGGUAACAUCAAAUCGUACCCCAAACCGACACAGGUGGUCAGGUAGAGAAUACCAAGGCGCUUGAGAGAACUCGGGUGAAGGAACUAGGCAAAAUGGUGCCGUAACUUCGGGAGAAGGCACGCUGACACGUAGGUGAAGUGAUUUACUCAUGGAGCUGAAGUCAGUCGAAGAUACCAGCUGGCUGCAACUGUUUAUUAAAAACACAGCACUGUGCAAACACGAAAGUGGACGUAUACGGUGUGACGCCUGCCCGGUGCCGGAAGGUUAAUUGAUGGGGUCAGCGCAAGCGAAGCUCCUGAUCGAAGCCCCGGUAAACGGCGGCCGUAACUAUAACGGUCCUAAGGUAGCGAAAUUCCUUGUCGGGUAAGUUCCGACCUGCACGAAUGGCGUAAUGAUGGCCAGGCUGUCUCCACCCGAGACUCAGUGAAAUUGAACUCGCUGUGAAGAUGCAGUGUACCCGCGGCAAGACGGAAAGACCCCGUGAACCUUUACUAUAGCUUGACACUGAACAUUGAGCCUUGAUGUGUAGGAUAGGUGGGAGGCUUUGAAGUGUGGACGCCAGUCUGCAUGGAGCCGACCUUGAAAUACCACCCUUUAAUGUUUGAUGUUCUAACGUGGACCCGUUACCCGGGUUGCGGACAGUGUCUGGUGGGUAGUUUGACUGGGGCGGUCUCCUCCUAAAGAGUAACGGAGGAGCACGAAGGUUGGCUAAUCCUGGUCGGACAUCAGGAGGUUAGUGCAAUGGCAUAAGCCAGCUUGACUGCGAGCGUGACGGCGCGAGCAGGUGCGAAAGCAGGUCAUAGUGAUCCGGUGGUUCUGAAUGGAAGGGCCAUCGCUCAACGGAUAAAAGGUACUCCGGGGAUAACAGGCUGAUACCGCCCAAGAGUUCAUAUCGACGGCGGUGUUUGGCACCUCGAUGUCGGCUCAUCACAUCCUGGGGCUGAAGUAGGUCCCAAGGGUAUGGCUGUUCGCCAUUUAAAGUGGUACGCGAGCUGGGUUUAGAACGUCGUGAGACAGUUCGGUCCCUAUCUGCCGUGGGCGCUGGAGAACUGAGGGGGG
rnacentral:rRNA from 1 species